UAUGAAUACGUGGCAUUAGAUCAUGGGUAACAAAAUUUGAAAAGGUUGGCUAUAGUUCUGUCAUUUUAUGGAGCUUAUGAUCAAUAUCUGUGUUGAUCACAAACCAAUUCUCUCCUCUGGAUAAGUUUUGACAGAGGACCCCAAAAUAAACUUUAUUAUUGGCCUUAUUUACGUCUUGCAACAUUGAUGGCAAAUAUGGUAUUUUUAUU